ensembl:lncRNA
GUGAGGGACAGGAAUGAUAUACUGACCAGCAGGAGAGGACAGUGAAGGAAAUGGUGAGGGACAGGAAUGAUAUACUGGCUGUCUGAAAUAAAGCAGGACAUUGAGGAGAACGAAGACACCUUUGCCAACGUGGCGUCCAUCAGCCUACCAUCAAUCUCCUGCCUUUUGAAGAGGCACCAGGUGUCUAUGAAACACAUUGAUGAAAUAAAUCACUAUUCAGGUACAGCACUAUAUACUGUAUACUAUUCAGGUACAUCACUAUAUACUGUAUACUAUUCAGGUACAUUACUAUAUACUGUAUACUAUUCAGGUACAGCACUAUAUACUGUAUACUAUUCAGGUACAGCACUAUAUACUGUAUACUAUUCAGGUACAGCACUAUAUACUGUAUACUAUUCAGGUACAUCACUAUAUACUGUAUACUAUUCAGGUACAGCACUAUAUACUGUAUACUAUUCAGGUACAGCACUAUAUACUGUAUACUAUUCAGGUACAUCACUAUAUACUGUAUACUAUUCAGGUACAUCACUAUAUACUGUAUACUAUUCAGG